AUGAACUGCCGUAGACAGUAGGUGCCGCAAGGCAUAAGGAGUAAACGCCUACCGAGGAAGAAUCGUGAAUCGAUGAUUUUACGAAUUUUAACUCUCAUGCUACGCAUGGGAGUUUUUCUUUUAU
rnacentral:sRNA from 1 species